AAUUGCCUAGUUGGGAACUGCCGAGGGGCGGGGAACCCUCGUAUAGUUCGUGACUUGCAGGCUCGAUGUAGAGUCAAUUCUCCGAGGAUGGUUUUCUUGUGUGAGACUAGGCAACAAAAAAAUAAAAUGGUUAGACUUUGUAGUCGGUUAGGACUGCGAGGUCUUGAUGGAAUAAGUAGUCAGGGUAAAAGUGGUGGUUUAGCUUUGUUUUGGGAUGAAUCGUUGUACGUUGAUGUUCAAGAUAUUAAUUAG
rnacentral:rRNA from 1 species